CCUACACAUGCAGUCGAGGGGCAGCAUUUCCAGCUUGCUGGAAGAUGGCGACCGGCGCACGGGUGCGCACCGCGUAUGGAACCUGCCCUUUACAGGGGAAUAGCCCGGGGAAACCCGGAUUAAUGCCCCGUAGCAUCCCGUGUGCGCAUGCACUGCGGGAUUAAAGCCUUCGGGCGGUAAAGGAUGGCCAUGCGUCCCAUUAGCUCGAUGGUAGGGUAACGGCCUACCAUGGCGACGAUGGGUAGGGGCCCUGAGAGGGGGAUCCCCCACACUGGUACUGAGACACGGACCAGACUCCUACGGGAGGCAGCAGUGAGGAAUAUUGGACAAUGGGCGAGGGCCUGAUCCAGCCAUGCCGCGUGCAGGAAGAAUGCCCUAUGGGUAGUAAACUGCUUUUAUACGGGAAGAAAAAGGGGUACGUGUACCCUGUUGACGGUACCGUAAGAAUAAGGACCGGCUAACUCCGUGCCAGCAGCCGCGGUAAUACGGAGGGUCCGAGCGUUAUCCGGAAUCAUUGGGUUUAAAGGGUCCGUAGGCGGGCCGUUAAGUCAGGGGUGAAAGUCUGCGGCUCAACCGUAGAAAUGCCUUUGAUACUGGCGGUCUUGAGUUAUGGCGAAGUGGGCGGAAUAUGUAGUGUAGCGGUGAAAUGCAUAGAUAUUACAUAGAACACCGAUUGCGAAGGCAGCCCACUAGCCAUCGACUGACGCUGAUGGACGAAAGCGUGGGGAGCGAACAGGAUUAGAUACCCUGGUAGUCCACGCCGUAAACGAUGGAUACUAGCUGUCCGGGGCCUUGAGUCCUGNGCGGCCAAGCGAAAGUGAUAAGUAUCCCACCCUGGGAGUACGUUCGCAAGAAUGAAACUCAAAGGAAUUGACGGGGGCCCGCACAAGCGGUGGAGCAUGUGGUU
rnacentral:rRNA from 1 species